rnacentral:lncRNA from 1 species
AAAACGACAUACAAUUAGGUUAGUACAUUUUAGAUAAUUUUCUCUUUGUAAGUUUUAAAGUAGCUUAUACAAACAGUCCGUCUUAAGAAAAAUAUCGCUUGAGCAGUGAAAACAAAUACAAGGUCAUAAGUCAUCUGUUUUAUCUUAAAGAAUAGAACUGUCUUGUGUAUAUCACCUAAUGUGUACUGAAUAAUUGCAGUGAUGUAAUAAUUAUAAUAAAGUAUUACUUUCCUUGGUAUUUUUAACCAACCUGUGAUAAGAAUAUAAAAACAGAAUGCUCCGAAGCUAUCAAAACAAUUCCCUACCCUUCAGUAAGUAUACUAAAACAUGAUGCUUCGAUUCCUCAACCUUGGUCACAAAUACUUUUUAUUCUUAGCUUUAGGAGAAAUUUAAAAAAAUGAGUCUAAUUUGCAAGUUUUGGAAUGUUUCAUAAAAACGACAGGCCAGAAUGUACAUAUCUGGAUUUUUUUUAAAUGAAGAGACACAAUCUCAAUCUGGUAUCUAUCACUCUGAUAUAAACAACUGACAUCUUACAGAUGAAUUGUGUUGACAAACACUUAGUUAAUUGAUUUUCUUUAACAAACCGUCGGUAUUCCUAUCAGAAACUUCUCCCUAGUUUCCCAUGGAGCAGACCUCAUAAUGAGAUUUACAAGAAUAAAUCAGUUUGUUUGCUAUUUUGAAGUCUUUCACAUUUUAAACAAAGAAUAAAGGAUAUUACAGAUACUGUUAUCUCAUAACUUAACUUGCAUCUUUAAAUCAGCAAUUGUGUGGGUUUUUUUUCACUUCAAUUUUAAAGUUUACAACAAUUUUGAUAAUUUUUAUUUUUCAAAUUUUAAACUUUCCAUUUUUAUAAUGUUCUCGGUACUUGGGCUGGACAUUUAUCAUACUUAAGCAGCGUUUCCUGUUUUCUUACGACUUAUAUUGUUUGAUUGUCCCAAAUGUUUGCUUUCCUUUAUUUGACUCUUUAGAUAACAUUUACAAUGAUACGUUAAAAUAAGAACAAAUAUUAUUUAACAUAAUAUAAAUAUGUAAUUUCAUUGUAUCAUUGAUGUGUCUUUUUUAAGUAGCUAAAAAGUACUGUUUAUAAGUUUUAUGAUCAAGAUAAAUAUGAUUGAGUAUACAUAACCUAAUGAAUGGUUGGUUAAAGACUGCUUAAUGUUGAAUUAAUCAAGAAAAUGAAUAGCUUGUGUAGUGUGAGCUUAAGCAAUAGACUCAACUGCUACGUCAUUUGAUCACUAAUGGAAAGUUUUAUUACUGGCUAUCAUACCACAUCUUUGUAUAUCUGCAUUGAAAUUUUAAAAACUGUUAAAAUAAGUUAUUUUUUGUAGGUAUCUGAAGACUUCAAGAUGGAUAUUGGAUCAGGUAUGAAUCUAUGAAUCUACUUGUCAACUUUAAUGUUUUUAACAUGCACAGAAAAAAGACAAGUACCACCUACUAGAUAAAAAAUAAGACACAAGCACCUUUUAAACAAUCUACAUUAUACGUAUGAAGUGAAUAAUAAUACAACGUACAUGUUAGGCUUGCAAUUGUUUCCCCUCCUUCAUAAAAUAGAAUUAUCCCUUUUAAUUUAUAUUCUUUAGUACAUAUGGUACAUAUUCAUAUACACUUUAAAUUACAUUGGAAAAUGAAAAUAAUACUUUAAAAAUUGGUUUGUCCAAAGUGCUUAUCUGUAUUAAUCUUUAUUAUUAACUUUCAGAGCCAAUAAUCUGCAAUUACCGAACAAAAGUUUGAGCUAUAUGACCGCAAGGACCAUAAAAUGGUAGACCAACUUGCUUGUGGGAUUAGAACAUUGGCUUCAAAAUAAUUUCUCAAUGCAUUUAUUUACUUUUAUCAAAAUUAAUUUGUUGGACUUAUGUAAAUUUCUUUUAGACUACAGAUUCACUGAGCCUUUUAAGCUUACAGAACAAAUGUACAAUGACUAUCAUGACAAUGGGUAUCUUAUCAUACGGUUAGUAUUAAUAAUCUGACAAUACUUUUUUUUAUAAAUUUCAAUCCUGGUAUCUAUGAAUAGUUUAUAUGGACGAAACGCGCGUCUGGCGUACUAAAUUAAAAUCCUUGUACCUUUGAUAACUAUUUACACCACUGGGUCGAUUCCACUGCUGGUGGACGUUUCGUCCCCGAGUGUAUCACCAGCCCAGUAGUCAACAUUUCGGUGUUGACAUGAAUAUCAAUAAUGUGGUCAUUUUUACAAAAUUCCUGUUUACAAAAUUUUGAUUUUUUUCGAAAUCUAAGGAUUUUCUUAUCCCAGGCAUAGAUUACCGUAUUUGGUCGUAUUUUGGCAAAUCUUUUUGGAAAUUUUGGACCCUCAAUGCUCUUCAACUUUGAAAUUGUUUGGCUUUAUAAAUAUUGUGAUAUGAGCGUCACUGAUGAGUCUUAUGUAGACGAAACGCGCAUCUGGCGUACUAAAUUAUAAUCCUGGUACCUUUGAUAACUAUUUACACCACUGGGUCGAUGCCACUGCUGGUGGACGUUUCGUCCCCGAGUGUAUCACCAGCCCAGUAGUCAACAUUUCGGUGUUGACAUGAAUAUCAAUAAUGUGGUCAUUUUUACAAAUUUCCUGUUUACAAAAUUUUGAUUUUUUUCGAAAUCUAAGGAUUUUCUUAUCCCAGGCAUAGAUUACCUUAUUUGGCCGUAUUUGGCAAAUCUUUUUGGAAAUUUUGGACCCUCAAUGCUCUUCAACUUUGAAAUUGUUUGGCUUUAUAAAUAUUGUGAUAUGAGCGUCACUGAUGAGUCUUAUGUAGACGAAACGCGCAUCUGGCGUACUAAAUUAUAAUCCUGGUACCUUUGAUAACUAUUAUAAACAUGUUUUUGUCAUUUUCAUUAUUGAUAUUUGACACCGAUUAUGAUUUUGAUUUUCAUGAUAGUCAGGAAAUCAAAUUCGAUCUUCUUGCAACGCUUUUCUAUGCUAAUCUAGAUCAGAAACACUUCGACGAUAACUGCUCAGAGAGCCAAAGAUAAUAUAAGUAUAGGUAAAUGCAGGGAAUCGUCACGUUAAGAUACCCACGCCCGUUUCAAAGUCCAUAACAAAAUCAUUGAGGCAAACAUAACAAGAUUCUGAGAAAGUUUAAUUAAAUUCUGAAUGAAAUAUGUAGUGUAGCGUAGUAUACUGGUAAAAUAAAGUCCAUGCUCUGUCUGAGUUGAUCUAAGAAAUCCUUUGAAAUUAAGAACUAAAAUAAAUGUGAAAAAGAACAAUCUGUGAGCAAGAUUAUGUAAUCGUUUCACAAACUUUUUUUCAAGUUGUUCAUGAACAGACAGUAGCUUAUACAAAAGUGGGGUUGAUUGACCAACGGACAGACGAUAUUUAAUGUCAUAUCGAUAUUUGUCCUGUUGGUAUGUUAACUGACAUUGGUAAACUUUCUAUAUUUUUAACCCUUAUUGAUAUGAUCAUAUAUCGUGUGAGUAUGACUACGAGAGGAAUCUUGAUACACAUUGGAUAAAGAUAAAGAGAGAAAUUUUUGGUAUGUUGUCCAAAUGUUUUAUUCCCUGCCUUUAUAAUAACAAAUAUAUAUUUUUAUAGUAAUAUGCUUGACAAAGAGGAGAUUAACAAAAUAGAGAAAUGUGUGACCGGAGAAAAGUUUAUGGAGAACAAAUACUCGGUAAGUUUGGUUUUAACAUAGAUGAUUUUUAUCUGAUGUCUACAUAGAUGAUUUUUGUCUGAUGCCUACAUACAUGCAAGUCACUUGAAAUAAAGCAACACUGAUAUAUGUUUUUAUAGAAUGGAGUCAAGCCUGUGUAAUAAAUGCUUAAAUGAAUUUUAUAAAAAAUGGAAAUAAAUCUUAAUAAAUUUAAAGAGUCCUAAGCACUUUUCUGGAUUUUCUUUAAUCUGGGACGUUUAAUACCGAAUAUUUUGAAUGCCAAUAAUUUUUUAGAACCGAAACGGAGACGAACUGUAUUACAAAAAAGGAUAUAAAAAUAAUACACAAAAACAUCAAAAGUCAACUUUGCCAGAUGGAGUUGGAACUAAAGUUCUUUCUUAACAAAUAAGCUGCAAUAGCAUACUUGAGAGUGUAUGAGUGUAUAUAUAAAUGGUGUCCAGCAUAGGUUUGGUUGAUGUUUCGCAAUCGUUUACAUAUCAUAAUGUUUAUUUUAAAAUUAGAUUUUUAUUCAUCUUUUAUUUUAAUGUCAUCAUUGAUGAUAGAUAACAUAGAAACAUCAUAUUAUUUAAGCUAGAAGAUAAAGAUAAUAAGAUAAUACGAGUUGUUUGGAGACAUCCUGGUACUGACGUCACUGGAAUUGUAUCUAGAUCAGAGAAGAUAGUGAGUAGUUGUGAAAAGGUAAGUACUUAGUUAUUCAAUAUAGUCCCGUUUUUAUAACACAUCUGUUAAAAACAACAACGCCC